rnacentral:rRNA from 1 species
UACUAGAGUAGCACUCGCAUAUCAAUAAGCGGAGGAAAAGAAACUAACAAGGAUUCCCCUAGUAACGGCGAGUGAAGCGGGAAGAGCUCAAAUUUGAAAUCUUAAAGGGUUUCCCUUUACGAAUUGUAGUUUAAAGAAGUGUUUUCUGUUGAGGUUUUGGUAAAAGUUCUUUGGAAUAGGACAUCAUAGAGGGUGAGAAUCCCGUAUUUGACCUUUACUUUCAACUUUGUGAUACACUUUCAAAGAGUCGGAUUGUUUGGGAAUGCAGUCCAAAAUGGGUGGUAAAUUUCAUCUAAAGCUAAAUAUUGGCGAGAGACCGAUAGCGAACAAGUACCGUGAGGGAAAGAUGAAAAGAACUUUGAAAAGAGAGUUAAACAGUACGUGAAAUUGUCAAAAGGGAAGCGUUUGACACCAGUGUUGUUUUUCUGAAAAUCAAUUAAAGAACUGUUUAUGCUAAGCUGUUUAGACUUUAUCAGCUAUCUGUUUAGUUUUGAGCUUUUCUUUAAUGCACUUUUCAGUUAACAAGUCAACAUCAAUUUCUUUUGCUGUAAAAAAGCUUGAGGAAGGUGGCUUGAGAUUCGUCUUAAGUGUUUAUAGCCUCUUGCCUAUGCAGUCGGAGAGAUUGAGGUCUGCAGCGUAGAUCCUUCGGGGCUAAAUGCGUUUGUGCUAAGUUAUAGCAUUUUAUAGACAACUUGUUGACUAUGAUUUGUCUUGUAGCUUACUCGCUUAUGUUAUUUUACCUACGCUUAGGAUGUUGAACUCUAUCACACACAG